rnacentral:rRNA from 1 species
CAGCCGCCACGGGAAUACGAAGGGGGCUAGCGUUGCUCGGAAUCACUGGGCGUAAAGGGUGCGUAGGCGGGUUUCUAAGUCAGGGGUGAAAUCCUGGAGCUCAACUCCAGAACUGCCCUUGAUACUGGAAGUCUUGAGUAUGGGAGAGGUGAGUGGAACUGCGAGUGUAGAGGUGAGAUUCGUAGAUAUUCGCAAGAACACCAGUGGCGAAGGCGGCUCACUGGCCCAUAACUGACGCUGAGGCACGAAAGCGUGGGGAGCAAACAGGAUUAGAUACCCGAGUAGUCCCUGUCUCUUAUAC